rnacentral:ncRNA from 1 species
AUAACAACUAUGAAAAGGAUAGUAAUAAAGGACUUGGUUUUUAUAGAGACAUAAUCCUAGGCUGAAAGAUUAUGACGAAGGUUUUUUAUGAAGAUCCCCUUGGAGUUGGGCAGCUGAAAUAAUCUUAAGCUGUUCCGUAGGUAUACGUUACAUGCUUUAAGCGAUUAAUGGAUUGUUUAUUUGAGCUGUCCAUUAAUAAAAAGGGUGGUACCGCGGAUAAUCCGUCCCUAAG